UUAAAUGCAUGCAAUAUUAUUUCAGCUGAGGUCAUUUUCAAAGACAAUUGUUGUCAUUCAGUAGAUCAUGUCAUUCUUAAUCAUCAGAAAUCAUUUUCAAGACUCAAUUCUGACCUGUCACAUUGCGCAGAUCUUGUCAUUCUUAGUCAGUUGAGGUCAUCUUGAAGCCAACAAUUCUUGUUUCAUAGCUCAAUUCUUGUCAUUUUCCCUCUUUUUGUUCCUCAGAUAUAUUUUUCAAAUUAAUAUCAUAUUUAUUUCCAUUUAUUUCAUUUUGGGAGCAGGCAUUAAGGCCAGGUUAUGUUAGGUUACCUUAUAUUUAGUUUAAUUAGGUCAGAUGAGGUUAGGUUACAUUUAAUUUGAUUAGGGUAGUUAGUUUUAAUUGUGUUCAAUGAAUGUGUAAUAUGCUUCAGUUAUAUAAUGUGUACUCGCCAUUGCCAAUGGAGCUUGGGAAUAAUAACACAUGACUUAGUCA